AUUGAACGCUGGCGGCAGGCCUAACACAUGCAAGUCGAGCGGAUGAAGGGAGCUUGCUCCUGGAUUCAGCGGCGGACGGGUGAGUAAUGCCUAGGAAUCUGCCUGGUAGUGGGGGAUAACGUCCGGACACGGGCGCUAAUACCGCAUACGUCCUGAGGGUGAAAGUGGGGGAUCUUCGGACCUCACGCUAUCUGAUGAGCCUAGGUCGGAUUAGCUAGUUGGUGGGGUAAAGGCCUACCAAGGCGACGAUCCGUAACUGGUCUGAGAGGAUGAUCAGUCACACUGGAACUGAGACACGGUCCAGACUCCUACGGGAGGCAGCAGUGGGGAAUAUUGGACAAUGGGCGAAAGCCUGAUGCAGCCAUGCCGCGUGUGUGAAGAAGGUCUUCGGAUUGUAAAGCACUUUAAGUUGGGAGGAAGGGCAGUAAGUUAAUACCUGGCUGUUUUGACGUUACCAACAGAAUAAGCACCGGCUAACUUCGUG
rnacentral:rRNA from 1 species